rnacentral:rRNA from 1 species
ACGAACGCUGGCGGCGUGCUUAACACAUGCAAGUCGAACGAUGAAGCCUUUCGGGGUGGAUUAGUGGCGAACGGGUGAGUAACACGUGGGCAAUCUGCCCUGCACUCUGGGACAAGCCCUGGAAACGGGGUCUAAUACCGGAUAAUACUUUUCCCUGCAUGGGGGAAGGUUGAAAGCUCCGGCGGUGCAGGAUGAGCCCGCGGCCUAUCAGCUUGUUGGUGGGGUGAUGGCCUACCAAGGCGACGACGGGUAGCCG